UACAGAGGUGGCAAGCGUUGUUCGGAAUUACUGGGCGUAAAGGGCGCGUAGGCGGCUUGGUCAGUCCCGUGUGAAAUCCCUCGGCUCAACUGAGGAACUGCACGGGAAACUGCCUGGCUUGAGUUCGGGAGAGGGAAGCGGAAUUCCGGGUGUAGCGGCGAAAUGCGUAGAUAUCCGGAGGAACACCGGUGGCGAAGGCGGCUUCCUGGACCGACACUGACGCUGAGGCGCGAAAGCUAGGGGAGCAAACGGG
rnacentral:rRNA from 1 species